rnacentral:rRNA from 1 species
GGAAUUUUGGACAAUGGGCGAAAGCCUGAUCCAGCCAUUCCGCGUGAGUGAAGAAGGCCUUCGGGUUGUAAAGCUCUUUCGCAAGGGAAGAAAGAUUACUCUCUAACAUAGAGUGAUUAUGACGGUACCUUGAUAAGAAGCACCGGCUAACUACGUGCCAGCAGCCGCGGUAAUACGUAGGGUGCGAGCGUUAAUCGGAAUUACUGGGCGUAAAGCGUGCGCAGGCUGUUUUGUAAGUCAGAUGUGAAAUCCCUGAGCUCAACUUAGGAACUGCGUUUGAAACUACAAGACUAGAAUAUGUCAGAGGGGGGUAGAAUUCCACGUGUAGCAGUGAAAUGCGUAGAGAUGUGGAGGAAUACCAAUGGCGAAGGCAGCCCCCUGGGAUAAUAUUGACGCUCAUGCACGAAAGCGUGGGGAGCAAACAGGAUUAGAUACCCCUG